rnacentral:rRNA from 1 species
AAUUAUACCGUGAAACUGCGAAUGGCUCAUUAAAUCAGUUAUCGUUUAUUUGAUAGUACCUUACUACUUGGAUAACCGUGGUAAUUCUAGAGCUAAUACAUGCUGAAAACCCCGACUUCGGGAGGGGUGUAUUUAUUAGAUAAAAAACCAAUGCCCUUCGGGGCUCCUUGGUGAUUCAUAAUAACUUAACAGAUCGCAUGGCCUUGCGCCGGCGACGGUUCAUUCAAAUUUCUGCCCUAUCAACUUUCGAUGGUAAGGUAUUGGCUUACCAUGGUUUCAACGGGUAACGGGGAAUUAGGGUUCGAUUCCGGAGAGGGAGCCUGAGAAACGGCUACCACAUCCAAGGAAGGCAGCAGGCGCGCAAAUUACCCAAUCCCGACACGGGGAGGUAGUGACAAUAAAUACUGAUACAGGGCUCUUUUGGGUCUUGUAAUCGGAAUGAGUACAAUUUAAACCUCUUAACGAGGAACAAUUGGAGGGCAAGUCUGGUGCCAGCAGCCGCGGUAAUUCCAGCUCCAAUAGCGUAUAUUAAAGUUGUUGCAGUUAAAAAGCUCGUAGUUGAAUCUUGGGCCUGGCUGGCCGGUCCGCCUCACCGCGUGCACUGGUCCGGCCGGGCCUUUCCUUCUGGAGAGCCCCAUGCCCUUCACUGGGUGUGCGGGGGAACCAGGACUUUUACUUUGAAAAAAUUAGAGUGUUCAAAGCAGGCCUUUGCUCGAAUACGUUAGCAUGGAAUAAUAGAAUAGGACGUGCGAUCCUAUUUUGUUGGUUUCUAGGACCGCCGUAAUGAUUAAUAGGGACAGUCGGGGGCAUCAGUAUUCAAUUGUCAGAGGUGAAAUUCUUGGAUUUAUUGAAGACUAACUACUGCGAAAGCAUUUGCCAAGGAUGUUUUCAUUAAUCAGUGAACGAAAGUUAGGGGAUCGAAGACGAUCAGAUACCGUCGUAGUCUUAACCGUAAACUAUGCCGACUAGGGAUCGGGCGGUGUUCCUUUGUUGACCCGCUCGGCACCUUUCGAGAAAUCAAAGUUU